AGAGUUUUCUCCUCCAUCUGGUUUUAUUCAGUGUAAGUAGGCUGGCAUGUGAUGUCACUGCCAGAAGCACAUGUCUUCCUACACACUCCCUCUAGUGGUGCCCCCAAAGCAUUACACUAAAUAUGCUUUCUUUAUGAUGUAAAGUCAUUAAUUAGUAAAUACCAUUACACCAGUUUUGCUUGACCCUUCAAUACGUAGCCUCGUCUCGUUCUAUGCCUGACUCUACUCUUGGAUCUCGUGGAUGGGAAUAAGAAACUCCAUUACUACACAUCAGCUUGCCAGGAAAAGGACGUCUCCAACUGCUGAUACUGUAGAUACGAAUAUCCAUUUUGCUAUCUAUCCUAGCUGUUCAUAUAAGGGUUAAUGUGAACCAAGAAUAAAUUUGGAAUUGUAUCUUCGAUUCUGGGAAGAAUUUAUCUAAUAUCAUUUACGAGAAUGACCAUACUGAUUUCGAAAUGUUCUUGUUAAUUGUCCAAGAUUUUGGUAUUUGUAAAUAUCUGGUUUUGAUCAAAUAUGCAUGCGGUAUAUAACAUAGAAUUAUAAUGAGAAACAGCUGCUCAUAACUUGUGAAAAACAAUCUAUGUCAUUGCCACGCCCAUAUGCUAAUUUUUCCCCCUCCCAUCCUGCUAUGAAAACGGGGUAUUAAUAUAACUGACGAAUGAAUACAAUUUGAAUUGGUUAUUGAACACGUCUCUGCUAUUCAUUUCCAAUUUCCAGAUCUCUGAAUGAGUUGGCAAAUAUCCAUCAUCCACAAAGGGCCCGGGCUGAUUUGAUCCCCAACAAACUGGAUGUUUGGCAUUACUCCGGCUUGCUAUUUUAUGUGCUAUUUUAUGAUGUGCAACGCUGAUUUUAAGCAUAAAGUCUUAAUUGAGAGAAUGUAUAAAGUACAUGUAAAGGUGAUGAUGAAUAAGAAAAAAAAAAUUAGAGGUUAUUUAAGAGGGCUACAAAUUCUAGAACUAAUAUGAUUUCUCUAUGUUUGUUUGCAUAAUGAGCCCUUUAUUUUUAUACUUGGACAAAAGUACUAUAAGUCCACUACACUUUUUCAUGAGAGUGGGAUGUGUGAUUGUUUAUAUGAUGAGCCGUUUAUUUUCAUAUUGGGACAAAAAGUAACUUCAUUCAAAACACCAAACACCACAUUCUUUCUGCCCUGUGUGUUUGUUGCAGAGAAUUUAUGUUGUAAAUGUAGAUAAUUAUAAAUUAGAGAGCAAAAUUUAUAUUUUCAGCGGUUCAACACAUGCUUCAUUUUGUGCUGUAAGCUAACUUGUAGUAUUCCAGUACGUCACAUGUUGUAUGUGCUUUAAAUUGUAUGUAUUCUGUAAAUUAUUGUAUGGGGAUUCUGAGAUUUUAUUGAUUGUGACCCAAACUGUGAAGAAGUAGGUUUGAAAUUUUGGUCAUGGAAUGUAGGAUCAGAAAACCACGGACAAAGGUUUUUACCUGUGUUGAUAUGACUUUUGGGAACUCAAAUUGACCGGUCAAAAUUUUGCCAUGCCUUUAACAUGGAGUAGUAUAAAAAUAUUUUGAGUCUUUGAGAGUUCUGACAAAUGCAGGUGAUACCAUGUUUGUGUAAUCUGGUCCAAAUGUUCUAUAAGCGUAUAAGAGAGAAAUUCUAUUGACAGGGAACAUAUGUUGCAACUGGUUAACGCAAAUGUUAUACAAAAUUUUGAGUCAAACGCUUUAUUUGGCCAUACGGGAUCCCUUCUUUAAAAAGAAAAAAUAAACCCUUUGGUACCAGAACUCUUAAAUAAAUCUGAUACAAACUAAAAUUGGUAUACCUUACAAUAAUAUGUUCUGAAUACAGCUGUUAAAAGUUUAUUCUGUGUAAAUGGUGAUUGUGAUAAAUGUGUGUUUUGGGUACUUAUUUUGAAGUGUGCACUUUAAUUGUCAUGUAUGGUAAUGGGUAUUUUGCUUUGUUUUUUUUUAAUUACCGGUAUAUUUGAAUAAGUUUGUCUCAGUAUUGAUACAGAUGGAAAUGGCAGCGUAAUAAUCUAUUAAAUAACUGAUUUAUUAUUGAAUACUAGUCCAAGAGCAAUAUGAGUUGUUGUCUUAAGAAAGAAAUAUAAGGGGGGAGUCUGUUUUUGUAAGUUUUAGCUGAUUUCUAAAAUUCUGUUGCAAUAAUGGACUUCCGGCCAAAAUUUGACUUUCCUGUCCAGUUGCCAGGUGCUCUGAUCUAAUCUUAAAGCAAUACUGCUUGCAAAGUUUGGGAACCUACAUUACAUGUAUUAAUUUAUUUUGGAUUGAGUUAAUUGCCUGACCAUGAAUAUGCUUUUUGUAUUGGCAUGUCUUCUGGAUAUCUGCUAAUUUCGUUGUGUUCUGUGUUAUAAGACGUGUGAUAUUACAAUGAGUACGAAGAAUAUUUAAAGAAUAUUUGCAUGUCAUUAACACAAGCCUUUAGUGUCUUUUUACAACAGAUUAAAAAAACGCCGAUCAGCCGACAAGAAAGGGGUCCCUGGGAAAGAAAAGGAAAAAAAUCAUCUGCUUUUCAAAAUCGUGGAUCCACGUUUCCAAUUUGAAACUUCUCUUUCUCUCUCUCCGUAUUAUUUGGUGAGUAUUUAGAGUUAACUCUACUUUUAAAGUGCAUUGCAUUAUUUAAGUCAAAGAAAAAGAAAAAUGUGUUAUCUUUAACAUAAACAAUUGUUAUGUUAUAUGGUUAUAUAACAAAAACAAUUAUGGAUGUAUAGGAUAGGUUUUUUCCAAGAUUAAGAUUCAUCUAGUAUGCCUCAUUGAUUAUAGCAAAAUGAUGAAAUGGUAUUUUUAAUAGAGAUCAGAUAAUUUCUUUUGAGGCAAUUCUUAAAUACUGUAUUAUAUUUGUAUUGGUAUAUUGAAAGCAUUUUGCAGACUCAGAAGAGAAUGAAUAAUAUAAUAAUUAUAAAAGGAACCAUACUAUAGGAAGAGGUCACCCUAUUAAAUCGCUAAGGGGUUAAACUCAUUUUUGAUAAGCAUAUAAAAUUUAGUUUUUGUGCUUAGAAUUUUUGAUACUCAAUUUGAACUCAAUUGAAGUAUUACAACCAUAUCCUUGCAGGUAUGGGAAACAUCUGCAAUAUGAUUUUAAUAUUUGCAAUAUAUUAGUGUUUUCAAUGUAUUCUGACAAUGGAAAAGUACCUAACCGCAUGUCUGCAUUACACCCAUGACCCAGACUGUCAGUAUUGCAAACCCUAUAUGAAGACUCUGCUUUCACUGUUUAUGUAUACACCCCUAGACAACCGUGCUAUACAUACACAAUAAAUCUUCAAAAGCUUAUUAAUAUUAUAUCUGUGUGGUACACAAAGAGGGGUACACAAAGAGGGGGUGUGAGUUAGGUAAUCUCGACCUGCAUAUGUAAUAUGCUUCCUCCUUGUUCACUUUUGGUUAAACUGUUGGUCUGUGACUGGCCCUCUUUGACCCCAACUGAAUUUCUUGGGAAGAUUCAUGAGAAAGAUACAGCAGGUUGUUUUGAUAUAAAGAAAGAGGGAAAAGUAUGUUGUAUCAGUCACAAAGGAUUGUGAUCUUAAGCAGGCGAGACAAGGAUAUUUGGGAGGUGAUAGGAAAUGGAAUCAGAAAAGUUUUAGAGGCAGAGGUAGAGAAUUUGAUCAAAGGAUCUAACUUUUGUAGAGGUGGUAACUUCAGCACUGUUUUAAUUGUGGAUAGCAGGGGUGAACCUGGUUCUCCCGGUCAUGCUGGCCCCACUGGUAUUGCUGGUGUCCCUGGCUUCCCUGGUGCCUGUGGUGCUCCUGGACCUCAAGGCCCCAGAGGUUCCCCUGGUAACAAUGGUGGACUUGGUGCUCAAGGAGACAAAGGAGAACCAGGUGCUAAGGGAGAACCUGGCCCAGCUGGCAUUCAAGGACCCACCCUGGCAGGUUCCUCAAUACCAACCUAUACCCACACCCAACAACCUCAGCCUAAUACACAGAUGGUUCAUGGUUUUUAAUAUUUUAUAUAUAGUUUUGAGUGAUAAAACAGUAUUAAUGCUGGCUCUUAGAGGAUGUACAAGCUGAAGUUGGGACCUAGACAUUGUUUGCAUAGGCUGCGCAAUGUGAAAUAACUAAAAUGAAAUAGGAUAAUAAUAAGUAUGCUUAGUCAAUUUGUAAUGUGGUAUAAUAGAGGCAUCUGCAAUAAAAUAAGUGGGUUUCCAGGACCUGACAAUUGAGGGCAACUUAAUAACAUAUGUCUACAGUUUGCUGCCCCUUCCUUAUCAGAGGCCACUUGCAACCUUAACACAGCAAGACAACUCUUCCGAAACCUGUAUUAAACAAAGCACUUUGGAACAAUAGUAAUUCAUUUUGUUUCUCCUAUUUCAUUCCUAGUUGUUCUGGAAAAAAAUAUUGUUUAAGUAGGAUAACUGUAUGGAGUUCCACCAUGUAUUAAAACAUGAUCAAGCACAUACAGAACUGGUGGCUUUUUGGACAUCGGGAUCUAUAAAAGGUUUAGGUUUCCAAAGAUGUUAUCAGUGUCCACAAAACUGACAGACUUCAGCAUUCCAAUUUUAUUAAAGUAAUUAAUUGAGAUGAUCAAAUCAAGGUUUAAGAUCAGCAUUUUAUUAGGAAUUAUACCAAUAUGUAUAUGUUAGUGUUUUAGUACCCAACAAGCAUUUAUAUAGAAUGAGUGCUUCUCUCAUCCAUACAAAGGCAUUCUAAAGGAAAAUUAUGUAUUAAAAUUUUAUAAAGGACAAAUUCAAUGAAAUAUAAGCAAAACAUAGAGAAGUACAGUAAUUUAUUGAUGUCGUACUGAUCCUUGUGUUUGUAUGAUUAUAGAGACCGUAUUUGUGCCGCCUGAUAUUUGGGACUACACACCAAUCUCUCUGGCUUACCUACCUACCUUUUUUGCAAUUAAAUCUGUUUGGUCAAAAUCUAUGCUGGCGAAGAAACUGAGAUGCUUACUUAUGAGGACAUUAACUAACUUGGAAAGUCCUGAAGAUGCAGUGCUGUCUAAUGCCGCUAUUUCUGUAUUACCCUUUCAACAAUUGGGGUGUUGCACAGAGUAUUGUGGUGAACAUCCAGCAAACAGAAGAAUAAAGAACUAUGUGGAAGCUGACAUUGUCUUGUUGUCAGCCAUAUUGCUACCCUUAGCUAUGUUAUGGUGUCUAAGAUUAUGGAACAAAGUUUAUGGUUUCUGAGAUUCUUUAUACUCCUUGUACGACUUAUAAUAUUUUUCUGGACUAUGCUGGACUAUUGAACAAUUUUAUUAUUUUUAUUUUUGUAGAGUUAGCCAGAGAGAGAGGAAGUGUUAGCUUACUCAGGCAUGGAUGUGUUAUAUGUGUCAUUGAUGUAUGUUGAGUGUACCAAGGAUGGAUUCCCAUGUAUUAAGUGUGGAUAUGACUGGACCAUCAAAAUAGGGAUAUGAUUAAGAGACAUAGGAUGCAAGGUCAUGAUUGGGAUUAUUGUUAGAAUUUCAAGCUGAUUAUAAGUUAUCUCAUGAAUUAAUAUGUAAGUGGGCCUUUUCAAACUCAUCAAGAAGCGUUUCCCAAUCCCAAUAACCGAGCUAUUUACUUACAAGUGCGGGUUUUAUAAGUCACUAAUGCUGUCAACGUGAGGAGAUGACAUGUCUACACAGUCAUGGCCCUCACUUAGAGUUUCCUCAGAUGUGCUUUUUUCCUCAAAUAUGAGUUUUUGCCACUGUUUUUUUUUUUGACCUGGCCCAAGAUCACUGGGUGGACUGGUAAUCCAAGACCCUGAUCCAAAGAGGGGGAAUAGAUAUUAUUCCCAUUUUGACUAUAUGUGUUUACAUUGUGAAUUAUAAUAAUAAUAUUCCCGUUGUUGGAAAUAAUACACUUUGCCUGUUUUGAUCCAAGGCUCAAGUUACAGAUAAAAUGAUGUGCAGUCUGUUUAAAAUUGGUUAACAUGUCAGCUGUUUAAAAUAUUUAACUUGUACACUUAAAAGAUGUAUUCAACAGAUAAUUGAAAAAGCUGAAAAUUGACAGCUCAAACUCCUCUUAAAGGGAAAACCUAAGACACAGAGCAAAUGGGGGAAAUCGAGGUGAAGAAAUAACGAAAGUCCCGCAGGCAUGAUUAGCACGUCUCAAUAUACCUCCUUUCAUUUCUCUGCCGCAGGCCUCCCAUGGAUAUUUUCCGUAAGGUAGAUCAUGAUAUGAUCUAAGAGGGGAAUUGUAGAUACGAAUAUCCAUUUUGCUAUCUAUCCUAGCUGUUCAUAUAAGGGUUAAUGUGAACCAAGAAUAAAUUUGGAAUUGUAUCUUCGAUUCUGGGAAGAAUUUAUCUAAUAUCAUUUACGAGAAUGACCAUACUGAUUUCGAAAUGUUCUUGAUAAUUAUCCAAGAUUUUGGUAUUUGUAAAUAUCUUGUUUUGAUCAAAUAUACAUGUGCUAUAUAACGUAGAAUUAUAAUAAGAAACAGCUGCUCAUAACGUGUGAAAAACAAUCUAUGUCAUUGCCACGCCCAUAUGCUCAUUUUUCCCCCUCCCAUCCUGCUAUGAAAACGGGGUAUUAUAUAACUGACGAAUGAAUACAAUUUGAAUUGGUUAUUGAACACAUCUCUGCUAUUUAUUUCCAAUUUCCAGAGCUCUGAAUGAGUUGGCAAAUAUCCAUCAUUCACAAAGGGCCCGGGCUGAUUUUAUCCCCAACAAAUACCCCCUUACAACCUGGGUAGCCGUUACAACGACUUUUGAAAGCAUGGUUAUGCAAGAUCUUAACAGGAUUAAACCUGUCAAAACUAAUGAAUAUAAUCUAAGUUUUAUAGAAGAAAAACUUUGAAAGACCUUAAAAAUGAC